ACAAAAAGCAUCGCAAUUGAUGCCCCUGGACGUCGCUAAUACCUUUAGCGACGACAUGUUGUCGCUAUUACCUCGUAGCUAAAACUCUUUUGUCGUCGCAAAUAGUGUCGACUCUGAUAUACGUUGUUGCUAAAUGGUUAAUAUCGUUGUUGUUGGUGUCGUCUCUAUUGGUAUUCCAGCCACCAGUCAGAGUNCAGAGUUUCUCCGGCUACACUUCCGGGAACCGGUUGUCAUCACAAUUGGAUCAUUGUCGUCCCUAAAUAUGUGGCUGCUAAUGGUUUUUUUUGGAAAAUAAUAAUUUAUUUAUGAUAUUGGUUUUUAUAUAUUAUAAAAUGCAUCUUUAAUAAAAAUACAUACCACAUUACAUAAAACAUCAAAUAUAUCAUAUUACAUAAACUAUCUAAUAUAUCCCAAAUACACAUCUAAUAUAUCAUCCAUAAACCAUCUAAUAAAUCAAAAAUAACACCAUCCACAAAGAGUCAAAACAAGAAAUACUAUGUGUAUGCGUCUUCGUCAUCGUUCUUUUCUUCAUUAUUGACGUGGCUUUUAAACAAGCAGAUAAUGUCUCCAAUGGUUGUCACAAACGCCGAGUUUUGAAGAAAAGCGUUCACAUCAACAUCCUACAAUUAAUUCACAAGCACAUUAAGUCAUUAACUAUUAAUUAUUUAACAAACGAUCAAACCAUCAAACCACCAAAUGAAUUAUGUCGGUAACAAUUUAAAAAACUACCAAGCCACCUAAUCAGUUAAGUCUUUAAGAAUUUAACAAACUUCCAAACUACCAAAAAUUACUAUAAAUGCAUAAUGCUCUUAACUAUAUAGCAAAGCUACCAAAUUCUUUAUGAAUUUAACAAGUAGUUGUGCUUCUUGCGGUGCUUGUGACUGUGACCGCCAUUAGGAUGAAGCACGUGUACCCGUUGCUGAAGAAGUUUUAGGCUCAAAGCCUCUCACAUGCCCCCUACGAGCACCCAACACCUUCUUAAAUAUUGCGAUCCAAUAAAUGGUGUCUGGAUCACCACCAGAGUCGGCUAUGUGAUGAGUUUGUAGAGCAACCUCAGCAACUAAAGCAUUAUAUAUUUCACGAGGCUUUGGCAUUGUUGUUUGUACUAAACACAAGAAAUAGCCUUCCAAUAAAUGAAACUUAUUCCAAAUUCUAUUAUGCAUUUUCAAUUUUUUAUUAUAAAUGUGAGGGGUAAUUUAACUAUGUGUCUCAAGAUGUGUGUUGUGUAAUAGAAAUACAUAGUUGUUGCAUAACAAAAAACAUAACCUUUAGCGAUGACAAAAAGCAUCGCAAUUGAUGCCCCUGGACGUCGCUAAUACCUUUAGCGACGACAUGUUGUCGCUAUUACCUCGUAGCUAAUACUCUUUUGUCGUCGCAAAUAGUGUCGCCUCUGAUAUACGUUGUUGCUAAAUGGUUAAUAUCGUUGUUGUUGGUGUCGUCUCUAUUGGUAUUCCAGCCACCAGUCAGAGUUUCUCCGGCUACACUUCCCGGAACCGGUUGUCAUCACAAUUGGAUCAUUGUCGUCCCUAAAUAUGUGGCUGCUAAUGGUUUUUUUGUUGAAAAAAAUAAUUUAUUUAUGAAAUUGGUUUUUAUAUAUUAUAAAAUGCAGCUUUAAUAAAAAUACAUACCACAUUACAUAAAACAUCAAAUAUAUCAUAUUACAUAAACUAUCUAAUAUAUCCCAAAUAC
rnacentral:lncRNA from 1 species